rnacentral:rRNA from 1 species
ACGGAAGGCCAUAUCACCCUGAACGCGCCCGAUCUCGUCUGAUCUCGGAAGCUAAGCAGGGUCGGGCCUGGUUAGUACUUGGAUGGGUGACCUAGCACUUUGCACA